rnacentral:rRNA from 1 species
UACAGAGGGUGCGAGCGUUGUUCGGAAUUAUUGGGCGUAAAGGGCGCGUAGGCGGUGCGGUAAGUCACCUGUGAAAUCUCCUGGCUCAACUGGGAGCUUGCAGGCGAAACUGCCGUGCUGGAGUGUGGGAGAGGUGCGUGGAAUUCCUGGUGUAGCGGUGGAAUGCGCAGAUAUCAGGAGGAACACCAAUAGCGAAGGCAGCUCGCUGGGACGUUACUGACACUGAGGCGCGAAAGCGUGGGGAGCGAACAGG